rnacentral:rRNA from 1 species
GAUAUAAUCGGGUGCCUUUCGAGAGGAAGGCUGCGUACACUCCGCCCGUGAUUCGACUCACAGGGCUGAGGGCGGCUAUUUUAUGCCCUUCUGGCUAGCACCUGCUUGAUGGGUGGGGCUGCCGUCCUCAAAACGUAACUGUUCCGUAGGUGAACCUGCGGAAGGAUCAUUACUAAAUCUUCGGCUCCCGGAGCCCCGGCUCCGGGGGUUCCUGCUUGGGUUCAGGGUAUCUCGGUUGUAACCCCAGCGGUUGCUGCCCUGGUAACCCCCCCACAGGUCACCCUUUGUGAAAUCCCCUCGUUGCUUCGGCAGCUCUCCCGCCCGCCCUAAACCGCGGCCGCGGGGGGUCAGCCUGCCGGCGGCACCCCGGAAACUCAUUUGUGAAAAGCGGUACUUUAAUGUCUGAACAGCGCAGUCGAAUGACUAUAAAACUUUCAACAACGGAUCUCUUGGUUCCCGCAUCGAUGAAGAACGCAGCGAAACGCGAUAGUUAAUGUGAAUUGCAGAAUUUAGUGAAUCAUCGAGUCUUUGAACGCACAUUGCGCCUUUUGGUAUUCCGAGAGGCACGUCCGUUUGAGCGUCAGUAAAACCCUUCCGGUUCACGGUUUAUUGCCGCGGCCGGGCCAGUGGCGUGGGGAGGUGACCGCGGCGCUUCGGUGCCGGCAGGUUUCCCCCGCUUAAACGCGGAGAAAGCUAGCGGGCAGGUGCCCGGAUUUGCGAUGACUCGUAGAAUUUUCUUACGUCGUAGCGUCCGGCAGCAUUGCCCCGCCUCUAACUCAGCGGCUGCCCCCAGCGGCGGCCAGAUUUUUGACCUCAAAUCGGAGCGAGGAUACCCGCUGAACUUAA